rnacentral:miRNA from 1 species
UGGAUCUGAUGGAUCCGAUGGAUCUGAUGGAUCUGAUGGAUCCGAUGGAUCUGAUCCAUCGGAUCCAUCAGAUCCAUCAGAUCCAUCGGAUCCAUCA